UACAGAGGGUGCAAGCGUUGUUCGGAAUUAUUGGGCGUAAAGCGCGUGUAGGCGGCUUUGCAAGUCGGGUGUGAAAGCCCUCAGCUUAACUGAGGAAGUGCGCCCGAAACUGCUUGGCUUGAGUACCGGAGAGGAUGGCGGAACUCCCCAAGUAGAGGUGAAAUUCGUAGAUAUGGGGAGGAACACCGGUGGCGAAGGCGGCCAUCUGGACGGAUACUGACGCUGAGACGCGAAAGCGUGGGUAGCAAACAGG
rnacentral:rRNA from 1 species